rnacentral:misc_RNA from 1 species
UCCGCGGUCAGACCGCAGCGGUCGCCGACCCUUUCGGGCGACUACUGCCAACAUGUCAAACCCCGGUAAGGUUCUUCGCUUUGCAUCGAAUUAAGCCACGCGCUCCGCCGCUUGUGCGGGCCCCCGUCAAUUCCUUUGAGUUUUAGCCUUGCGGCCGUACUCCCCAGGCGGGGUGCUUAAUGCGUUAGCUGCGGCACGGAAGUCUUGCGACCCCCACACCUAGCACCCACCGUUUACGGCUAGGACUAC